AGGAUGAACGCUGGCGGUCUGCUUAACACAUGCAAGUCGAACGGAGUAGCAAUACUUAGUGGCGGACGGGUGAGUAACGCGUGAGAAUCUACCUUCAGGACGGAGACAACAGUUGGAAACGACUGCUAACCCCCGAUGUACUGAAAAGGCAAAUAUUUAUAGCCUGAAGAAGAGCUCGCGUCCGAUUAGCUAGUUGGAGAGGUAAAAGCUCACCAAGGCGACGAUCGGUAGCUGGUCUGAGAGGACGAUCAGCCACACUGGGACUGAGACACGGCCCAGACUCCUACGGGAGGCAGCAGUGGGAAUUUUCCGCAAUGGGCGAAAGCCUGACGGAGCAAGACCGCGUGGGGAAGAAGGCUCUUGGGUUGUAAACCCCUUUUCUCUGGGAAGAACACAAUGACGGUACCAGAGGAAUCAGCAUCGGCUAACUCCGCGCCAGCAGCCGC
rnacentral:rRNA from 1 species